AUGGUGAUGUGGUACGGGAUACAAUUGACUCAGAGGGGUGAGAAUAUACUGGGCAGCAAGCUAGUUGGGCUCAUUACGAGGGCUUUAAACUAGAAUUGCUGAGGGAAGGGGAUGUACUGCUGAGUGAUAGAGAAGAGCCAGGGAAUGCUGUCACUCUAGGAAGAAGCAGGGGGGAAACAUCAGAUUUGUUCCAAAGGCUUGUGGGAGGGCUUCUUUAGGAAGGCAGUGCAUCUGAAAGCCCAGCCGAAGUGCUUCUGUACCAGCGUACACAGCAUAGGAAAUAAGCAAGAGGAGUUGGAAACCUUGUCGCGCUUGGAAAACUUUGAUCUUACUGCCAUCACAGAAACAUGGUAGGAUGGUUCACACAACUGGAACACUACCAUUGAGGGCUGUAAACUUUUUAGAAGGGAUAGGCAAGGUAGGAGAGCUUAACAUAGAGGGUUGCCCUCUAUGUUAAGGAGUAGGUAGACUGCAAGGAGAUCCCUCUGAAAAACAGACAGGAACAGAUGGAGAGUCAGUGGGUUAAAAUCAGGGAUGGGAUCGAUAAAGGCCAGCUGGUGGCUUGGAUCUACUACAGGCCAACUGAUCAAGAGAAGCCUGCUGAUGAGGCCUUUCUGCGUCAGCUACAAGAAGUUUCAUGCUCACAGGCUCUCAUUCUGAUAGGGGAUUUCAACCCCCUGGAUAUCCACUGGCAAGACUACACAGCAAGCUAUAAGUAAUCCAGGAGAUUCCUGGAGUCCAUUGAUGAUAACUUUCUGUUUCAAGCAGUGGGCAGACCAACCAGAGAUGAACUGCUGCUGGAUCUAGUGUUCACCAGUGUAGAGGAAAUCAUUAAAGACAUUAAGAUCAGAGGCAGCCUGGGCUGUAGUGACCACCUCUGAUUGAGUUUGUGACCUUGAGGGAUGUGGGCCUAGCAAAGAGUGGGGUCAGGUCUCUGAACUUCAAACAACUUCAGGUUGUUUAAGGAAUUUUAGAACAAGAUCUCUUGAGAAGAAGUCCUUAGAGACAAAGGAGUGGAACAAAGCUGGCUACUCUAUAAGGAUGUCUUUCUGAGAGUGAAAGAGCUCUUCAUCCCCUUGGAUAAGAAAGCAGGCAUGGCUUGGUAAAGUCCUGCUGGUCAAACAGAGGGAAAAGAAGGACGUGUACCAGCAGGGGAAACAAGGGCGUGUCACCUUGGAAGAAUACAGAGAUGUUGUCUGGACUUGCAGAGAUGGGACUGGGAAAGCCAAGGCACAGAUGGAACUGAACUUGGUGAGGAAUGUUAAAAACAACACAAAGAGAUUAUACAGGUGGCUACGUCAGAAGAGACAGGCCAAAGAGAGCUUAUGUCUCCUGCUAAAUGACAAAGGAAAACUGGCUGCAACAGAUAUGGAGAAGUCUGAGGUGCUCAGUGACUUCUUUGCCUUAGUCUUCACUAGCAGCCAGGAUUCUUACGUCCCUGAACCUGUACCUCUAGGUGGGAACUGGAGGAGUAAACUCUCCCUGACUUUAAGUGAGGAGCAACUCUGAGACCAACUAAUGAGUCUGAAUGUGUACAAGCCCAUGGGUCCAGGUGACAUGCACGCCAGUGUCCUAAGGCAGCUGGCUGAGGUG
ensembl:lncRNA